rnacentral:tRNA from 1 species
GCCGGAGUGGUGGAAUUGGUAGACACGUCGGACUCAAAAUCCGAUGCCCUCGCGGCGUGCCGGUUCGACUCCGGCCUCCGGCACCA